rnacentral:rRNA from 1 species
AACGAACGCUGGCGGCGUACUUAACACAUGCAAGUCGAACGAGGAUCGCUGUGUGAGCAAUCAUGUGGCGGUCCGAGUGGCGUACGGGUGAGUAACACGUGGGCAACCUGCCCUGGAGCCUGGGAUACCCUCUCGAAAGGGAGGCUAAUACCGGAUACGUUCCCCGGGUCGCGAGAUCUGGGGAGGAAAGGUGGCGCAAGCUGCCGCUCUUGGAGGGGCUCGCGGCCUAUCAGCUAGUUGGUGAGGUAAUGGCUCACCAAGGCGAUGACGGGUAGCUGGGCUGAGAGGACGACCAGCCACACGGGGACGGAGACACGGCCCCGACUCCUACGGGAGGCAGCAGUGGGGAAUUUUCCGCAAUGGGCGAAAGCCUGACGGAGUGACGCCGCGUGGGGGACGAAGGCCUUCGGGUCGUAAACCCCUGUCAGAGGGAAAGAAGGAUGCCGGCGCGAUAACCGCCGGUACCUGACGGUACCUUCAGAGGAAGCCCCGGCCAA